rnacentral:pre_miRNA from 2 species
UCUUAUGGAUGAUCAAAGAAAGUGGUUUUUUUUUUUUUUUAGAUGAAAUCUACUGCUGGUGAAGAUUCUAUGAA